CAAUUUAUCCAAGCUUGAAAGGAGUGAAACAAUAAAUUUCGGAGUUAAAGCUCCCCCUUUCAUUUGGAAUUAUAUAAGCCUUCAUAUUAUACAAUCAAUUGUUUGGCUUAUAUAUCUUUAAUGAUUUAGCUUGAUUAAUAUUCAGAUUCUCCCCCUCAACAUAUGCAUUCUACUAUGUUUUGAUUCUCUGAAUUUUCUUUUAAUGCUUUGAAGUUUUUGAACUGAAUUUUUUGUUUUUAGAGGAAAAAUCUGUCAAUUUGUUCUUGAGUAGGAUUCAGCUAAUCUCCAAAUAUCCCUUGAAUAGAUUCUGAAGAUUACUCCAUUAGGAGCCCCAAAAGAGAGAUAAUGAGCCUCGAGGUACCAAAUCCACUUAGAACAAAUUUUGUGUGUUUUAACAGUUUUUUUGAUUUUCAUUGAUUCCUUUUACAUAUUUUAUACAUAUUUCUCCCCCUUUUUGUCAUCGUAUCAAAAAGAAGGUAAGCACACACAAUCAAUGGCACAACCAAUCAAUCAUCAAAUGGCAUAGAAUUGAAGAAAAUAUGGCUACUCAUUGUAUUGAUUUGCAUG
rnacentral:lncRNA from 1 species